GACAUAGCUGUCUCUUCUGACAGCGGGAGAGCCAGCUCAGCGAGAAACCUCUCCAGCAGGUCCUCUCUGCUCGCCCAGAAGGGCUUUUUAUCACAGUGCAGAUGGCUGCUACCUUCGCAAGGCACAGCAGUGUGCUGGCACGCGCCUGCCGCACAGAAGCUCGAGCGCCGCAGAGUCUGUGCUUACACCUGCGAGGAGCCGACAGGCCGCCUGCUCCGGCUCCAGCGAGAGGCCCCUUGCAGGAUGAGACCCAGCCCGGAUGGCAUUUCCACCAGCCACCAGCACAGCGCGUCUGCCCCGGGCGUUGGCACCGGGCAUUUGCACCAUGUAUCCACACCAGGCAUCUGCAGAGGGCGUUUGCAGCAGGCAUCCACAGCCUGUAAUUAAGGCGGACGCGAGUUUUCUCGGCAGCAGAAACACAGCGGCGCGGCUCCGUGCGGGCGCAGGGCAGUGGGUGGGAGCUGCUGGAGCAGGUGAUUAAAGCCGUAUUAAGUGUC